UCUGGGGUCCAUAGCGGAGGGGUAACACCCGAUCCCAUUCCGAACUCGGAAGUUAAGACCUCCAGCGCCAAUGAUACUGCCCUAUUUAAAGGGUGGGAAAGUAGGUCGAUCCCAGAA
rnacentral:rRNA from 1 species